rnacentral:rRNA from 1 species
GACAGAGGGUGCAAACGUUGUUCGGAAUUACUGGGCGUAAAGCGAGUGUAGGCGGUUUCCUAAGUCAGGUGUGAAAGCCCCGGGCUCAACCCGGGAAGUGCACUUGAAACUGGGAGGCUAGAGUAUCGGAGAGGUUGGUGGAAUUCUCGGUGUAGAGGUGAAAUUCGUAGAUAUCGGGAGGAACACCGGUGGCGAAGGCGGCGACCUGGGUAGAUACUGACGCUGAGGUGCGAAAGCGUGGGGAGCAAACAGG